UAGGGAAUCUUCCGCAAUGGACGCAAGUCUGACGGAGCAACGCCGCGUGAGUGAAGAAGGAUUUCGGUUCGUAAAACUCUGUUGUUAGAGAAGAACAGCGCAUAGAGUAACUGUUAUGCGUGUGACGGUAUCUAACCAGAAAGCCACGGCUAACUACGUGCCAGCAGCCGCGGUAAUACGUAGGUGGCAAGCGUUGUCCGGGUUUAUUGGGCGUAAAGCGAGCGCAGGCGGUCAAUUAAGUCUGAUGUGAAAGCCCCCGGCUCAACCGGGGAGGGUCAUUGGAAACUGGUUGACUUGAGUGCAGAAGAGGAGAGUGGAAUUCCAUGUGUAGCGGUGAAAUGCGUAGAUAUAUGGAGGAACACCAGUGGCGAAGGCGACUCUCUGGUCUGUAACUGACGCGGAGGCUCGAAAGCGUGGGUAGCAAACAGG
rnacentral:rRNA from 1 species